rnacentral:rRNA from 1 species
AGAAUCAACGCUGGCGGCGUGCCUAACACAUGCAAGUCGCACGAGAAAGGGGAGCAAUCCCUGAGUAAAGUGGCGCACGGGUGAGUAACACGUGAAUGAUCUACCUCCGAGUGGGGAAUAACUGAGAGAAAUCUUAGCUAAUACCGCAUAAUACCCACGGGUCAAAGCAGCAAUGCGCUUGGAGAGGAGUUCGCGGCCGAUUAGCUAGUUGGCGGGUAAUGGCCCACCAAGGCGAUGAUCGAUA